CUCCUGGUUUUUCCUCACUGCCAGCUUAGCAUCGGGUUUUCUCAGCUCUGCUAAGCCAGUUACCACCGGGCCAUCUGCUGCUCAUUUUCCAGCUUUUGUUGCCAUUUUCUUCUCUCCCAUUAUCUUUGUCCUCGUGUUGUUUGUUAUCAUUUAGUGUUCUGUGCUGUUGUUUAGUGUUUUUUAUUAAUACUUAUUGCUUGUUAAUGUUGUAGUGUCUUGUUUUAACAGGAUUUGGGGAUGACAGAGCUAAGGGCCUUUUUCAAUCUUCCACUUUUAACCAGAAGACACGGCUAUAAAACCAAAACAAAACAAAACAUGAUUUUCACGGAGAAAACUGAAAGGAAAUUGGUUAAAUUGGCUGUUUUCUUGUUUAGUUCUUUUAAGACAAUAGAACUUGUCAUUGAAUGGAACAUGCUUUGUGGGGAAGUAAAAUUUGAGAUAUACUUUGAAGGAAGAGAAACGGGCUUCUCACAGCAUUGCACAGAACACCGCAAUGGUGUCCUCAGACCGAAGCCAACUUUCCUUCCUGCCCACAGAAGCUCAAGCCCAGGUGUCGCCGCCACCC
rnacentral:sRNA from 1 species